AUACUCUCUUCGGCGGUACAUACACUAAAAUUGGAACGAUACAGGGAAGGUAAGCGGGGCACCUGCGCAAGGAUGACACGCAAUAUCGCAGCGCCCUGUGUAA